CCCUAGCCCUGAUAGUAGUGGAAAUCCUUUAAUGCUGGGGUUCGGCAUUAAAGAUUGAAACGGAUAGCAGGAAAUAGC
rnacentral:sRNA from 1 species